rnacentral:rRNA from 1 species
AAACUGGGAAUAAUACCGGAAUAACGCACAUAUGCUGAAAUGCUUUAUGCGUAAAAUGGAUUCGUCUGCCCAAGGAUGGGUUUGCGGCCUAUCAGGUAGUAGUGGGUGUAAUGUACCUAUUAGCCUACAACGGGUACGGGUUGUGAGAGCAAGAGCCCGAAGAUGGAUUCUGAGACAUGAAUCCAGGCCCUACGGGGCGCAGCAGGCGCGAAAACUUUACAAUGCGGGAAACCGUGAUAAGGGGACACCGAGUGCUAGCAUCAUAUGCUGGCUGUCCAGGUGUGUAAAAUACACCUGUUAGCAAGGGCCGGGCAAGACCGGUGCCAGCCGCCGCGGUAACACCGGCGGCCCGAGUGGUGAUCGUGAUUAUUGGGUCUAAAGGGUCCGUAGCCGGUUUGGUCAGUCCUCCGGGAAAUCUGAUAGCUCAACUAUUAGGCUUUCGGGGGAUACUGCCAGACUUGGAACCGGGAGAGGUAAGAGGUACUACAGGGGUAGGAGUGAAAUCUUGUAAUCCCUGUGGGACCACCUGUGGCGAAGGCGUCUUACCAGAACGGGUUCGACGGUGAGGGACGAAAGCUGGGGGCACGAACCGGAUUAGAUACCCGGGUAGUCCCAGCCGUAAACGAUGCUCGCUAGGUGUCAGGCAUGGCGCGACCGUGUCUGGUGCCGCAGGGAAGCCGUGAAGCGAGCCACCUGGGAAGUACGGCCGCAAGGUGAAA